GACGAACGCUGGCGGCGCGCCUAACACAUGCAAGUCGAACGGAGCUGAGAGAAGCUUGCUUUUCUUAGCUUAGUGGCGAACGGGUGAGUAACGCGUGAGUAACCUGCCCUGGAGUGGGGGACAACAGUUGGAAACGACUGCUAAUACCGCAUAAGCCCACGAUCCGGCAUCGGAUUGAGGGAAAAGGAUUUAUUCGCUUCAGGAUGGACUCGCGUCCAAUUAGCUAGUUGGUGAGGUAACGGCCCACCAAGGCGACGAUUGGUAGCCGGACUGAGAGGUUGAACGGCCACAUUCGGACUGAGACACGGCCCAGACUCCUACGGGAGGCAGCAGUGGGGGAUAUUGCACAAUGGGGGAAACCCUGAUGCAGCGACGCCGCGUGGAGGAAGAAGGUUUUCGGAUUGUAAACUCCUGUCGUUAGGGACGAUAAUGACGGUACCUAACAAGAAAGCACCGGCUAACUACGUG
rnacentral:rRNA from 1 species